rnacentral:rRNA from 1 species
GACUAACGCUGGCGGCGUGCCUAACACAUGCAAGUCGAACGAGUUGUUUAUAGUAGCAAUAUUGUGAACAGCAAGUGGCGAACGGGUGAGUAACACGUAGAUAAUCUGCCUUUCAGACGGGGACAACUCAGGGAAACUUGUGCUAAUACCCGAUGAGACUACGGGAGGGGACUUUCGUAGCCAAAGGUGGGGGCAACCUCACGCUGAAAGAUGAGUCUGCGUCCUAUCAGCUAGUUGGUGGGGUAAAAGCCUACCAAGGCGAAGACGGGUAGCCGGCCUGAGAGGGUGAACGGCCACACUGGGACUGAGACACGGCCCAGACUCCUACGGGAGGCAGCAGUGAGGAAUUUUCCGCAAUGGGCGCAAGCCUGACGGAGCGACGCCGCGUGAGGGAUGACGGCCUCGGUUGUAACGUACUUUAUUAGGUAAAAGGACGAAUACGUGCUAAUACACGUGUUGUAUGUUACCUGUUGUAUAAGACCCGGCUACUACGUGCCAGCAGCGCGGUAGUACGU